AUUGAACGCUGGCGGAUGCUUUACCCAUGCCAGUCGCACGGCAGCGCGGGCUUCGGCCUGGCGGCGAGUGGCGAACGGGUGAGUAAUGCAUCGGAACGUGCCCAGUAGUGGGGGAUAGCCCGGCGAAAGCCGGAUUAAUACCGCAUACGACCUGAGGGUGAAAGCGGGGGACCGAAAGGCCUCGCGCUAUUGGAGCGGCCGAUGUCGGAUUAGCUAGUUGGUGGGGUAAAGGCUUACCAAGGCGACGAUCCGUAGCUGGUCUGAGAGGACGACCAGCCACACUGGGACUGAGACACGGCCCAGACUCCUACGGGAGGCAGCAGUGGGGAAUUUUGGACAAUGGGGGCAACCCUGAUCCAGCCAUGCCGCGUGCGGGAAGAAGGCCUUCGGGUUGUAAACCGCUUUUGUUCGGGAAGAAAUCCUCUGGGCUAAUACCCCGGGGGGAUGACGGUACCGGAAGAAUAAGCACCGGCUAACUACGUG
rnacentral:rRNA from 1 species